GCCCGAGUGGCGGAACAGGCAGACGCACAGGACUUAAAAUCCUGGGAGACUUCAAUCUCGUGCCGGUUCGAUUCCGGCCUUGGGCACCA
rnacentral:tRNA from 1 species